rnacentral:misc_RNA from 1 species
AAAAAAGAUGAUCGGAGGAUUGAAAUAGUUGUCUUGUUGAGGAUUAUUUAUAAUUUUGGUGGUCUAUAACUCUACAUAACAUGGAAAGUGAUUAAUAAGGGCCUUAUCUUAAAAAUAUUCAUAGGCUAAUUAGAAGGAGAUUUAUUGAGAGGAGAAUUUCUAUUAUAAUAGUAAAUGUAUGAGAUUGAAUGCUAUUAUUGAUUACUCUUUAAGAAAACAACAACUAAAAAAGAAAAAUUGGCCAAAAAUUUUAUUUACCAGAAUGCCUCUGCUGUUCUAAUAAGUAUCACUUCUCUAAAAAAUUGAAAAAUAAAUGUAAGAAUAAUGAAUAAACAAAACUUAGAAUUAUAUAUAGGUAACCAUUAUAGUUAAUGUUUUGGGUUUAGUGCAUUCGAAAUACCCUUCAUUUUAAAAAUAUUAACUGCGGUUUAAAAUAAUAUGACGAUGCAGUUAAAAUAUGAAAUAAAAUCUAGCAAAAAAAGGCAAAUGAAUCACCGAUGGUAAAUAGUGUCAGUUUUCCGUAUUUGCAUGAAUUUUAUAUUUUAUAUUGGUAUGUUGACUUGUUUGCCAUAUUUUAAAGACAAUUUCUUCUGGAG